rnacentral:tRNA from 1 species
GUGAAGGUGGCUUAGUGGUAGAGUACUUGCCUACCAUGCAUGAAACCCAGGGUUCAAUUCCUCAGUAUCACA